CCUACGGGUGGCUGCAGUGAGGAAUAUUGGUCAAUGGACGAGAGUCUGAACCAGCCAAGUAGCGUGAAGGAUGACUGCCCUAUGGGUUGUAAACUUCUUUUAUAUGGGAAUAAAACGUUCCACGUGUGGGAUUUUGUAUGUACCAUAUGAAUAAGGAUCGGCUAACUCCGUGCCAGCAGCCGCGGUAAUACGGAGGAUCCGAGCGUUCUCCGGAUUUAUUGGGUUUAAAGGGAGCGUAGGUGGAUUGUUAAGUCAGUUGUGAAAGUUUGCGGCUCAACCGUAAAAUUGCAGUUGAAACUGGCAGUCUUGAGAACAGUAGAGGUGGGCGGAAUUCGUGGUGUAGCGGUGAAAUGCUUAGAUAUCACGAAGAACUCCGAUUGCGAAGGCAGUUCACUGGACUGCAACUGACACUGAGGCUCGAAAGUGUGGGUAUCAAACAGGAUUAGAUACCCGGGUAGUC
rnacentral:rRNA from 1 species